rnacentral:rRNA from 1 species
GACGAACCGUGCGAACGUUGUUCGGAAUCACUGGGCUUAAAGGGCGCGUAGGCGGCCGGGUUGGUCGUGGGUGAAAUCCCCCAGCUUAACUGGGGAACUGCCUACGAUACUGCCUGGCUCGAGGGAGGAAGGGGCGGUCGGAACUGGCGGUGGAGCGGUGAAAUGCGUUGAUAUCGACAGGAACGCCGGUGGCGAAAGCGGACCGCUGGCCCUCUUCUGACGCUGAGGCGCGAAAGCCAGGGGAGCGAACGGG